AUGAUGGAUUGAAAACCCACUACUAACUGUGCUUCAACCCUUUUAUCGGAAGCACAACCACUUGGGUUCGAAUGAGGGGGAGUGCAGUACAGAGACCUUCCUCACACCUCGUGAAAACUUAAUCCCGAUUGUCAGGCUCGAACCCGUGACCCCGGUCAGGAACCCCACCAAGGUGGGUAAAUCUUACCACCUCACUUGCAGUUAAUGGGGAUCGAACUUGAGCCUCCUUUGAAAACUCAAGCACUUUCCAUCACUGGACCACAAGUUCAUUGGCGUUUUAAUAUUAUGUGAUUCCUCUCCUUUUUCUCAAAUGGAGUUUUAAUUUUGUUAUCAUACUCACAUGAUACUUUGAUUUAUUAAAAUUAAUUACUUAUAAAUAGUUUAACAUUUAUAUACUAGAUUUUAAAAAUAAAAGUUGGUCCUUACACUUUUUAAAUUGAUACCUACACCCCAUAUUCUUUAAGUAAGUUAAACAUUCACUUCUAAUUUUUGGUAAUUGAUAACUUUGAUUCGCUAACCAUUUCUACUUAUAACUUGACGUCUCAUUUUCUUUGAAUUGCUUUUACGAUUUUAGACCGUAGCGUGUCAUACAUUACAAUACUUUUGUAUAUCUAUGUCUAACCAUGUUAAUGUCUAAAUUACUUUUACGAUUUUACAUGGUUGUUGAAAAUACUGUUGCAACUUUACACCGCAACGACUGAGACAUACUUUUUUUUAUUUAUUUCAAAUGACGUUAAUGUCAUGAACGUACCGUCUGUAAUAAAGUACAAAAACGCCUAAUGUUACGUGCAGGUAUUACACGUUAAUGCUGUCAUCGUACACUGUAAGCGCAACACUUAUAUAGGUUACACCGAGUUAGAUCAGAUACGUCAAAACACGUGUUUUCAUAUGGCUAACACAUUACAUAACGUGCCGUCUACAUCUUACCCUCCUCACACCCUACCUUUGUUUUGCUAUUGGUGGGUUUAUUGAGUAUGAUGAUGAUGAUGCCGUCAGCUAUAAACAACUAAGGUACCACACCUUAACGAGUGGCGUAUGCCGGUUUUGACGUACCCGUCGGUUUAAAUUCACGUUUCAACGUAAACGUCUCACGUUGUGACAUAAACUUUCACUACUACAAAAAGAGGCAUUUGCUAUGAAAUUUUGCUACGGAAAAAAAUGGUGGCAAUCUUUGCUACGAGUUAGCUACGGAUUAGCUACGAACACAUUUUGCUAGGAAUUAGCUACGGAUUAGCUACGAACUUCCGUCGCAAAUGAAUUUCGUAGCAAAACUCAUAGCAAAUCCAUAGCAAAAUUGACAAAAUUAAUAUAAACCAUAUAAUGUAGCAAAAGAGGUAGCAAAAUCCGUAGCAAAACCAUGAAAAUAAGUAUUUAGAAAUAAACUAAAAAAAGUAAAAUAAAAUCUGUAGCAAAAUCGAUAGCGAAAUUGUGAAAAUAAAUAUAAUAAAAAAACUUAGUAAAAUUGGUAGCAAAGUCCUUAGCUAAAUCAUAAAAAUAAAUAUUUAAAAACUAACUAACUGAGGUUUAAAAAAACGGUAGCAAAAUCGGUAAGUAAAUAGACUUAGUAGAGAAAUUGGUAGCAAAAUCUAGAAAAAUUCUUAAAAACUAACGUAGCAAAAUCU
rnacentral:lncRNA from 1 species